rnacentral:rRNA from 1 species
GGAUUAGGCAUGCAAGUCGAGCGGCAAGGUUGUUUUCGAAUGACCCUAGAGCGGCGGAAGGGAUAGGAAUUUAUAGGUAACAUGCCUCUUAGGUCUGGAUAGCGUCUGGAAACGGACGAUAAUACAGGAUGAGGUCUUCGGACCAAAGGUGCGAUUCCCCUAGGAGAUUGGCCUAUAACCUAUUAGCUAGUUGGUAGGGUAACGGCUUACCAAGGCGAUGAUGGGUACGGGGCGUGAGAGCGUGACCCCGAUCACUGGGACUGAGACACUGCCCAGACGCCUACGGGCGGCUGCAGUCGAGAAUCUUCGGCAAUGGACGGAAGUCUGACCGAGCGACGCCGCGUGUAUGAUGAAGGCCUUCGGGUUGUAAACUGCUGUCACCUGGGACGAAAUCUACGGAGUUAACACCUCACGUAUUUGACGGUACCAGGAGAGGAAGCCAUGGCUAACUCUGUGCCAGCAGCCGCGGUAAUA